GCAUAACGCGAAGAACCUUACCCACCUUUGACAUGUACGGAAUCCUUUAGAGAUAGAGGAGUGCUCGAAAGAGAGCCGUAACACAGGUGCUGCAUGGCUGUCGUCAGCUCGUGUCGUGAGAUGUUGGGUUAAGUCCCGCAACGAGCGCAACCCUUGCCAUUAGUUGCUACAUUUAGUUGAGCACUCUAAUGGGACUGCCGGUGACAAACCGGAGGAAGGUGGGAUGACGUCAAGUCCUCAUGGCCCUUAUAGGUGGGGCUACACACGUCAUACAAUGGCUGGUACAAAGGGUUGCCAACCCGCGAGGGGGAGCUAAUCCCAUAAAGCCAGUCGUAGUCCGGAUCGCAGUCUGCAACUCGACUGCGUGAAGUCGGAAUCGCUAGUAAUCGUGGAUCAGAAUGUCACGGUGAAUACGUU
rnacentral:rRNA from 1 species